UGGGGAAUAUUGGACAAUGGGCGAAAGCCUGAUCCAGCCAUGCCGCGUGUGUGAAGAAGGUCUUCGGAUUGUAAAGCACUUUAAGUUGGGAGGAAGGGCAGUAAGCGAAUACCUUGCUGUUUUGACGUUACCGACAGAAUAAGCACCGGCUAACUCUGUGCCAGCAGCCGCGGUAAUACAGAGGGUGCGAGCGUUAAUCGGAUUUACUGGGCGUAAAGCGUGCGUAGGCGGCUAAUUGAGUCGGAUGUGAAAUCCCCGAGCUUAACUUGGGAAUUGCAUUCGAUACUGGUUAGCUAGAGUGUGGGAGAGGAUGGUAGAAUUCCAGGUGUAGCGGUGAAAGGCGUAGAUAUAGGAAGGAACACCAGUGGCGAAGGCGACCACCUGGGCUCAUACUGACACUGAGGUGCGAAAGCGUGGGGAGCAAACAGG
rnacentral:rRNA from 1 species